UUAGCCUCUUGUUUCUUGUAUGGUUUUUGCACUAACACUGCCUUUUAACUAAUUCAGAUAUUACGAAUUGGAUUCGCAACAUCGAACAGCAUGCUUCAGAUAAUGUCAAAAAGAUCCUGGUAGGAAACAAGGCUGAUAUGGAUGAAAGUAGAAGGGUUGUGCCCACCGCUAAGGGCCAAGGCACUUGCUGAUGAAUUUGAAAAUGAAAAAUGAGAAUAGCAUAAUAAGAGUAGCUUGAGGAAGAAUUUUUGUUGUUGCAGAGAAGUAAUAUUAGAGUAUACAAUGUGGACAAAGGCUGGAAAGUGCAGAAAAACAGUGUUGUCAUAGGUUUGUGAUGGACUAUUACCGAUACAUCUCUUUCCUCAGAUCAACGUUAUCUGAUAUUACGAAUUGGAUUCGCAACAUCGAACAACAUGCUUCAGAUAAUGUCAAAAAGAUCCUGGUAGGAAACAAGGCUGAUAUGGAUGAAAGUGUUAUCAUUAAUAAAUUGUAACAUUAACAAAGUAUUAUUAUUGUAACCUAACUUGACUGAAACAGAAAAAGGUUCUGUUCUUUUCAAGUGAUCUUGAUGCUAAGAGAAUUGUAAUAAUAAUAUUAAUAAUAGUGUUGUGAUUUACAGGA